rnacentral:rRNA from 1 species
CAAUAGCGUAUAUUAAAGUUGCUGCAGUUAAAAAGCUCGUAGUUGGAUCUCGGUGAUAUUGAGUCCUACUGCCGCUUAGUCUAUCGAGUCUGGCUAUGCCUAGUGUGUACGUUGGAUUUGUUGGCUGUGUUGGCGGUGUGGAAGCGGUGUUACCUUUCAGCCAUGUCUGUGGUGCAAUACCCACAGGUGUAAGCAAGUGUCAGGCGGUGCUGUGCCUUCGGUAUGGUUCGUCGGCUCGUUUGCAUGCCUGCGGAUGCCCUUCAAAAGGUGUCUGUGGGCGGAUGGCACGUUUACUUUGAACAAAUUUGAGUGCUCAAACCAGGCCAUCGCUGCCUGAAAAGUUUUGCAUGGAAUAAUGGAAUAGGACUUCGGUUCUAUUUUGUUGGUUUUCGGAUCCGAAGUAAUGAUCAAAAGAGACAGGCGGGGACGUUUGUAUGGUUGCGCUAGAGGUGAAAUUCAUGGACCGUAGCCAGACAAACAAAAGCGAAAGCAUUCGUCAAGCAUGUUUUCAUUGACCAUGAGCGAAAGUCAGAGGCUCGAAGACGAUCAGAUA